rnacentral:lncRNA from 1 species
AACCAGCAUAACUCUAAGUGCAUGGAUAUUGGAGAGUCUUAACGGGGACCAGUGAGAUGCAGGGCAGCACAGCAUCUCAGCUGGGAGUGCAGUUCUUCCUCUGACAUCCCUACUCAACUCAUGCAUGCAUCCUUGUGCAGCAAUGGACCUGACAGAACAUACAGAAGCAAACGUAUAUGCAGGUAUACCUGGCUGCCACCUCCUGCUGCUGAGCUGGGACUCCUCAAGUUGAUCAUGAAGCUGCAGCUCUUGGAACAAGGAAUGCCACUUCUGCAGUAUCAUGAUCUCUUGCAGCCACCACAACAAAUAAGCAGCAACUCUUUGAUGCAGAAGCUGAGGAGUGAAUGUUCCAAGUCCAAAGGGUGAUCCAGGACUUUUAAAGAUGUCUUUUUUUUUUUUUCUUUCUUUCUUUUUUUCUCCUUUUUUCUUUUUUUUGGAUCAAAUAAAAAUCAGUUCUUCAUUUAAAUGAUCUUAACCAUUAUGUGAGUAGGAAGCUGCCUUCCAUAGUCAGCAUCGUGAGGGAGAAUCCUGAUAAUUCAUUUAUUCCAUAAUAAUAGUGGGGUAGCUUUAAGGUUUUUACCAUCUGUGCUAUUAUGGGAAGGGGGAACAAAGCCAAUACAAAUUUAACCUUCAGAUUUAUGCUUCUGUGCUUCUCCAUUGUGCCUCUAAAAUUCUUCAGAAAAAAUCCUUAACCACUUCAGUACUGUAUGAUAAGAAAAACUACAGCUUCCAGACUCCACUUUUAUUUGAAAUCUGGAGAAUUUAAUUUAAUUUUAAAUCUGCAUGUUUUCAUUUAAUUUUGGACUCUAAUAACAAGUACUCAAGGCAAGAGAUAUAUUUAGUGAGUGUUAAGUUUGAUUGCAUCUAUUUGUCUGUGUGCCCAAAAUAUCCAAACCUAGCAUUAAGUGGUGUAUCUGUCUUCAAAUCUUUAUCUCCUUGAAAGUAAUCUCACAGUUUUACAGAAUGUACAAAUAUAAAAAGCUCAUUUAUGCCUAAGGCUUU